rnacentral:rRNA from 1 species
CUCAAAGAUUAAGCCAUGCCAAUGGGUUNUGUUAACCCGACAGUUUAAAUAAGUGUUAAAUGCUAUGUUAAAUUAAAAUACACACAAAUUAUUUUUUAUCUUACGUAGUAACAAAACUUCUAAAAAAUCAAUAUAUCUUUGAUUUUCGAAAGUGAUUUUAAUGUAUCACUUACGCAACUGCAGACAGCUGCUUAAUACAGUCACACUUGUCUUGACUUGGCGCAUAUAAAAUGUAUUUUUUUAUAAAAAAUACUUUUAUACUAACAACUAAAAUUUCAAAAAUACACACAAAAUAUUUUUGUUAAUUUUUAAAAUUGAUUUCUCUGUAACGUUAUUUCAUUAAAAAGAUAAAUUUACGUUACACCGUGAAAAAUUCUUUUUGGAUAACUCAGGGAAAGUUUGGCUAAUACGUACGAGUUAAAAAAACACAAAAUUUUUACACAAACAAAAUUUUAACUUUUAUAUAUAUAAGUUUUAAUUUUUAAAAUUAAAACAUCUUACUCAGCACAUAUUGGUAAAUUUUGGUUGAUAACUUUUUUAAAGUUGUUUAACCUAUUUAAAAUUUAACUGCAACAUGAGAGACAAUAUGUACGCACGUAAUUUCUUUACAAUUUCGGUUGUAAAAUUUUACACUUACGCUGAGCAGACUUUGCGAAGUUUACUUUGCGAAGCAGGUCAUACAAGCAUCUACAGCAUCAAGUCACGGGGUUGGCAAGUGUAUUUUUGAACCUUCAAAGCAGUCACGCAUACGGAAGAGUAGUUUCUGAUCCCAUAGAAGGAGCACCGUACAUUGAGAGACCGCUCUUAGUUCUAAGGAACGCAGCAGGCGCGUAAAUUGCCCAAUGCUAGUACCCUACAAUUUUAAUUAAUUUUAUAAUUUUAUAGCAUUAUAAUAAUAAAAAUGAACAAUUUACACACAUAUAAAAUUUAACACUUCAAAAUUUAUUCUGUAAAUUUAAUUUAUAUAUUAUCCUUGUUCACUUUUUUCAAUAUGUAAAUAAUUAAUUAUUUUUAAUUUUUACUGAGGCAGUGACAAGCUGUAACGGUUGAGUAUAAAAAUGACGAGUGUCUGGCAAUGCCGUCAACCUCGGUUGACCUGGCAGUUCGCCGACGCUUUGUGUGCUCAAUUGGAAUGCGGUGAGUUUAAGCAACUCAGAACCUUUGUCUGGUGGAAGUAACAUUUCACUUUUCAUGUAUCUGAAUUUCAAGUGGAGGGCAAGUCUGGUGCCAGCAGCCGCGGUAAUACCAGCUCCACUGGCCUAUACAAUCAUUGUGCCGGUUAAGAGGCUCGUAGUUGGAUUGAACUAUAUUAAAAUAUUUUUAAACAAAAUAAAUAUAGUAANNNNUUNUAAACAUAUUAUUAAAAAAAUCUUUUUUUUUAUNNNUGUUUCGACACUGUUUUAAAAAUCAAAUUUUUUGCAGUCAAUUAAUUUUACACACAUUUUAAUAAAACAAAAUAUAUUUGUUUUGUAGAUUUAUUUUCAACACUGUGAACAAAUCAGAGUGUAUCAAACAUGUCGUUUUUGAAUGUGCAUUGAAUGUCUUAUCAUGGAAUGUUGCACUUUUAAUUCAUUAAAAAUUUACUACGUAAAAAUUUUUUUAUAUUACNCACACACAAUAUAUAUAANUUUACNNNNAGGCNUGCUACUAAUUAUUUGCUGUAAAACNAUUUUUUAAUCAGUUUAAAAUGUCGAUGGGGAUAGUUGGAGUAGAGAGUACUGCUGGGCGAGAGGUGAAAUUUUUUCAUUGACCCUAGCAAGACUACCAAAAGCGAAAGCACUUUACUAGGCUAUACUCUUUGUGUGAUUUUUUUUAAAAAAACAAUUAUACACACACACAUAAUUUACUUUUAAAAAAUACACUUUACAAUGAAGAACGAAGGUUGGGGGAUCAAAGAGGAUCAGAUACCCUCGUCGUCCCAUUAAUUACAUCAAACGAUGGACUCUCAAUUGCAUUUAUUUAACUAAAUUUGCAAAAUGCCCUCAGCCUACAAAUUUAAAUAAUCUUUAGCUUGAGCUAGUAAUUUUAUUAUUACGCUCGCUAAUAAAUUUUUAAUAAUUUCGUACGGUCUUCUGAUGGACGUUUCUAAAAUUUAAAAAAAAUUUUUAAUAAUUUAUUUUGCGUGUAAGCAUUUUGGUAAUCAUUGAAACAUUAUGAUUUUAUCAUUGCGUGCACUUGAUUUUCGGAGCUUUGCGCUCAAUUAUUCUGGUGAGAUGUAAGCAGUGUGUGACUUUGUCCACUUAUAAUUAAUUAUCAUUAUAAAUUCAUUUUUAUAAUUUUUUAGUUGUAAGAUUGUGUACAAUUGUUACAAUAAUUUAUUAUUUAAACUGUGAAGCNCGCUUUAGGCACGCGCUUACUGCAGAAAUGUCUGAGACACUCUCCUCCGGGGGAAGUAUGUACGCAAGUAUGAAACUUGAAGGAAUUGACGGAAGGGCACCACAAGAACGCGUGGAGCAUGUGGCUUAAUUUGACUCAACGCGAGAAAUCUUACUGGGUCCGUACACACUGAGGAUUGACAGGCAAUAUUAAAAAAAUUGAAUAUAUUUAAUUAUAUAUUUUAAUUUUUUUAUGUUAAAUAUGCUAGUCCUUUCAUGAUUAUGUGAUAGGUGGUGCAUGGCCGUUCUUUAGUUCGUGGAGUGAUCUGUCUGCUUAAUUGCGUUUCACUAAGGGCUUAUAUUUAUAAUACGUGUGUUGACGGCACUUUGACCCCUUUAUGUUGCAUUGAAAUAUAUGUGAUAUAAAUGUGCGUGUCUUAGUAUUUAGCUUAGUCUCGCACAAAUGAGUCCUGAAAGCAACGAACGUGACCGCAACCUCUUGUUGCCUUUCAAUUACACAACAUUUUAACAUUUUAUAUGUUAUUAUGUUAAAAAAAGGCCUUUAAACUAGAGGGACCGCUGUAAUCUUUUUAAACCAGAGGAAGGUUGCGGCAAUAACAGGUCUGUGAUGCCCUUAGAUGUUCCGGGCUGCACACGUGCUACAAUGAUUAUUGCAGUGAGCAUCUCAUUUUUUACACACUGUAGUGCGAGUCCAUUUAUUGACUUAACAUUCACGUUAAUGUACUUUAAAUGUGUUACUUUGCGCACAGUAAANCCUGCUUCGAAAGUAAGNGGGNAAUCAAUUNGAAGUAAUGAUUUNCCGUAAAAUAUAAAUUUAUUUUAUAUUUAAUAGCACACAUAUAUACGGCAUCUUUACCCANCGCACAGCUNGUCUGUCGUUUNGUGUGUAUUGAUGUAACAAUUUUCCGUAUGUGCAAUUGUCAAUUCAUGGUGGGGACAGACCAUUGUUAAUUGUUGGUCUCGGUCUUAACUAGGAAUGCCUUGUACGGGUCUUUGGUUCAACAAACCACCCNGAAUACGUCCCUGCCCUUUGUACACACCGCCCGUCGCUCUUACCGAUGGACUUCUCUGUGAGUUUGAGGGACUGGGUUAAUUUAUUAAUAAUUAAAUUUAUUUAAUUUUAAUANNCUCUGGAAACUUAAACGAACAGUGUGGUCUAAAGGAAAGAGAAGUCGAACAAGGCA